AUAAACAAGAAACAUUUUCUUUUUUCAUGUUAAUAUGAAUUUUAAUAUGUGCCAAAUACGUAAGACAUUAAGUGGUAUGCAAAUGAAAAUUGGAACUUCCUGAUAAUUAAGAUCUCCAGCAUAUCCACACCCAGGCAACACAUGUAACAGACAUUUUAUACACCAUCAUCCUAAGUGCUGAAAGUACAAAGACAAGAAAACAAAUGUCUCUUCAUUUGGAAUGCUUUGAGUGCCCUGGGAAAGACAGGAUGCCAGACCAUGUGCUCACAGGUGCUAAGUGUUCUGCUGGAAGUUUAGGCUUUUUCUAUCAAUGUCAGGAAGACACUGUUGGGAAAUGUAGUGAGAGUGGCAUUCUCGGGAUGAUGUGAUUUUCCGGAAGUGACAGUUUGUGAGUUGCUGGUCAGUAACCUGAAACACAUCUAUUUGUCUUCUUUCUGGGAACUGCUUUCCUCUGAUAAGAACCAGUGGUGUGUUCUGUUUUCAGUUUCACUUUCGUACAAUGUCUAAGGAGAGAAAUAGAGUGAUAAGGGAAAUUCCCAGCUACAAAAAGGAUGGUGCUGGACAACGAUUUAUUAUUGCAAAAAUUUCCUGGGAAUUUCCAUUUUCCUUUGGGAUUUUAUUUGGCAGGUUUCCCAGGAUGUGCAAGGACCAAUAUCUAGUUGGUUAGUCUAAAUCUUGGAAUUUCAGUGCCCGAAUUUAGCAGAAUAUUUUGUUCUUUAAUUUUUUUUUCAGAGCUCAAAAAAUCAUGUUCCUUUCCAUUCAUUCCAAAGUUGUAAGCAAAACAUGCUGAGCUGUAUUAAUUGUUAAGGCAGCAUAGUUAUUUUUAUUUUAGGAAGCUGCUAUGUGAAAGAGGAUGUGAGCUCAGUACCCUUUAAAGAUUCUGUCUGGGGUAGAGACAUGGCUGUGGAGAAAAGGCAAAAGCAUCUUCAUUGUUGCAGCCUCUGGAGUUUAAGUUUUAACAGGGCUGGCUAGCACAGCUUUGUAGAGUUGGAAACUAUGACUAAUGAGAGAUCAAUCACCAGCAGUUAGACGGGUAGAUUUCUAGGGAGAACUUGAAGGGUAGCUGGAAAAUAAUGUGUAUCCUCUUAGGGAAGUCUUGGAUCAUGACUCCAGAGGGCAUUAUUUACCCCAAGAACAUAUCAUUUGCAUGAAAUAUGUGUGGAGUCUCUGGAUUUGAGUAAGUGAAGGCCCUCUGCCCUACCUACUGGAAUUGUUCUGAGGUUCAAGUUACACAAUUAUAAAAGGACUGUAAACUAAACCCAAUGGUAUAUGUCAUAACAAUGAUAGUUACUGUUUUCUCACCAGCCCUGCCAUUUGAUUAACACCAUUCUUACCUAGUUUGAGAAGCAGAAAAACCUCUUCUAGCAGGGAGCUUUCCAAGUAUUCACCUUGAAUGUGUGGAGUUCUCUUGUGAGAAGAACUUUACAGUAAGACUCUAUUGCUGAAGACAUCUCACACUUGAGUCAUAGAAUAUGGAGAACUCAAGACUGUACUCACCUGGAAGCUUCAUCUCUAUGACAGCUUUCUGAGUGAUGGAAGACACUGUUAAUGCUACCAGAGGAAAAAAAGAGCAGGUUAGUGCACUUUCUGCGGUUGGCUCCCAUGCUGUCUGCUCCAGCAUGUACUGCAACCUCUGUGACCAUGCAGAGAUGGGGACUAAAAGUGCUGCUGUAGAGACUCUCUCAUGACACAGAGCAUCUCCUGCCACUGAAGAGGUACCACUGGAUGUCACUGUUGCACCAUGCAGGUGGGAGCAAAUGUCAGACCCACUGAAGAGGACUGAAGAAGGCAGCUUCCAGCGAGGAGCAGUGCAUCUGUGCAAAAAGAUUAUAAUCCCCAGUGAAGUGGGACUUACCCAAUCAAGUGUUCCAUGUGUCAGGCUCUGAUGGCCUGCUCCCCUGAAGUCCUCUGUUACAGCAGAGCACUGUGCUGGCCUUCAUAGUCCACUUCUGGAGAUUAUGUUUUGGUUGCCCAGGCAAUGAUCAGGUAGGAGGACUGUUUUUCUGACUGGAUGUCCUGUGUUCAGGUUAUGGCCAUACUUCUGCUAAGCACUUACAGUUUUGUGCAUACUCU